AAGUCGAACGCCCCGCAAGGGGAGUGGCAGACGGGUGAGUAACGCGUGGGAAUAUACCCUUCAGUUCGGAAUAGCUCUGGGAAACUGGAAUUAAUACCGGAUACGUCCUACGGGAGAAAGAUUUAUCGCUGAAGGAUUAGCCCGCGUCGGAUUAGCUAGUUGGUGAGGUAACGGCCCACCAAGGCGAUGAUCCGUAGCUGGUUUGAGAGAACGACCAGCCACACUGGGACUGAGACACGGCCCAGACUCCUACGGGAGGCAGCAGUGGGGAAUCUUGGACAAUGGGCGCAAGCCUGAUCCAGCCAUGCCGCGUGAGUGAAGAAGGCCCUAGGGUUGUAAAGCUCUUUCGCCGACGAAGAUAAUGACGGUAGUCGGAGAAGAAGCCCCGGCUAACUUCGUGCCAGCAGCCGCGGUGAUACGAAGGGGGCUAGCGUUGUUCGGAAUUACUGGGCGUAAAGCGCACGUAGGCGGACUGUUAAGUCGGGGGUGAAAGCCCAGGGCUCAACCCUGGAAUUGCCUUCGAUACUGGCAGUCUCGAGAAUGGGAGAGGUGAGUGGAAUUCCUAGUGUAGAGGUGAAAUUCGUAGAUAUUAGGAAGAACACCAGUGGCGAAGGCGGCUCACUGGCCCAUUUCUGACGCUGAGGUGCGAAAGCGUGGGGA
rnacentral:rRNA from 1 species